AAGAACUCGACUAAUUUAAUUUAAAAGUCAUAGAAAGACAUACCAAAAGACGACACUUACCCGAUUCAAACUCCUAUUAGACGAAAAUGUGAGGCAAUGACAUGUGAAGUCGGAAAGAAAAUAAGAAGAACAAACUACAAUGAUUCCCAAAAACAAAACCACCAAGAAGACGAAAGGGAGAAGGAGGAGAAAAUAAAAAGAAAAAACAAACGUACUAGAAAGGGAGAGAAAAACGUGUUUAAAAUAUUUUUUUAAUUCACUAACUAAAAUAAGAUAAACAAAUAAAUACAUAAAUACAUAAAAUAAAAACAAAAAUACAUAAAUAUCUAAAAUAAAAUUAUCCCAUAAACACACACGAAGAUUCGAACCCAAAACCUAGAAGCAAACUAACACACAACAAACUAC
rnacentral:lncRNA from 1 species